rnacentral:rRNA from 1 species
CAGCAGCCGCGGUAAUACGUAGGGUGCGAGCGUUAAUCGGAAUUACUGGGCGUAAAGCGUGCGCAGGCGGUUUUGUAAGACAGGCGUGAAAUCCCCGGGCUCAACCUGGGAAUGGCGCUUGUGACUGCAAAGCUAGAGUGCGGCAGAGGGGGAUGGAAUUCCGCGUGUAGCAGUGAAAUGCGUAGAUAUGCGGAGGAACACCGAUGGCGAAGGCAAUCCCCUGGGCCUGCACUGACGCUCAUGCACGAAAGCGUGGAGAGCAAACAGGAUUAGAUACCCCAGUAGUCCCUGUCUCUUAUAC